rnacentral:rRNA from 1 species
GACGAACGCUGGCGGCGCGCUUAACACAUGCAAGUCGAGCGAAUUGGCGGACGGGUGAGUAACACGUGAGUAACCUGCCUUAGACAUUGGGAUAGCCUCGGUAAACCGGGAUUAAUAUCAAAUGGUCUAAGAUGGACUCGCGUCCCAUUAGCUAGUUGGUGGGUACCGGCCCACCAAGGCGACGAUGGGGAGCCGGCCUUGGAGGGUGAACGGCCACAUUGGGAGUGAGAGACGGUCCAAACACUACGGGAGGAAGCAGUGGUGAAUAUUGCACAAUGAAGAGAACUCUGAUGCAGCGACGCCGGGUCAACGAAGAAGGCUUUCGAGUUGUAAAGUUCUUUUAUAUGGGAAGCGGUACCAUAAGAAAAAGCCCCGGCUAACUACGUGCCAGCAGCCGCGGUAAUAC